rnacentral:misc_RNA from 1 species
CGCACCUUGCGCCUUUUGGUAUUCCGAAAGGCAUGCCUGUUUGAGUGUCAUGAACUCCUCAACCCCCUCGGGUUUCCGAUCGGGUUGGACUUGGGUGUUGCCAUCCCGGCUCACCUCAAAUUGCUUAGUGGACGCGCUCCCCCCAGUCAGUGUAAUAAGUUUCAUUGGCGAGGUGGUUUCGCUCUGCUCACAACGGCCUUUGCUGGCAACUUCUUGUACUCUGACCUCAAAUCAGGUAGGGCUACCCGCUGAACUUAA